AGCGAACGCUGGCGGCAGGCCUAACACAUGCAAGUCGAACGAACUCUUCGGAGUUAGUGGCGGACGGGUGAGUAACACGUGGGAACGUGCCUUUAGGUUCGGAAUAACUCAGGGAAACUUGUGCUAAUACCGAAUGUGCCCUUCGGGGGAAAGAUUUAUCGCUUUAGAGCGGCCCGCGUCUGAUUAGCUUGUUGGUGGGGUAAUGGCCCACCAAGGCGACGAUCAGUAGCUGGUCUGAGAGGAUGACCAGCCACAUUGGGACUGAGACACGGCCCAAACUCCUACGGGAGGCAGCAGUGGGGAAUCUUGCGCAAUGGGCGAAAGCCUGACGCAGCCAUGCCGCGUGGAUGAUGAAGGUCUUAGGAUUGUAAAAUCCUUUCACCGGUGAAGAUAAUGACUGUAGCCGGAGAAGAAGCCCCGGCUAACUUCGUGCCAGCAGCCGCCGUAAGAC
rnacentral:rRNA from 1 species